UCUAAUGUCCUACUUUUCUCUCAGUCUAAGGCGGUAUUUUCUCCCUCAGUGCUGGCAAUACCUGGGCCCUCAGAAUGUCUGCUGGAGAUGGUGGAAGCUGGGAUAGGGGCUGGGGAGCAGGGUGCUGUUCAGCUUUAGAGUUUCCUAGAUUCCUAGUCAUCGUCAAGGAUGUUGUUCCCAAUAGUUUAUUAUAAUGUGCAGUGAAGUAUUGGGAUAACCCCUGGUGGUUCAUUCCACAUUUGUGAUUACUGGUCUUUUUUUUUUCCUCCUGAAGUUGGGUAACUAAUUGCCUCAGAGUCAUACAUCAUGAGGAGGAAAGACCAUCCUAUCUGAGUUACACAAGAAAUUCAUAUUCCUCCUAGUAACAUGGCUUGCAACCCCCUUCCCACUCCUGUGUUUGUAAAAUAAUCAUCCCAGCCUCCUUACACCAAUGGAGCCUGUGUCCGCGUUGCCGUUACGGGAUGAAUGUCCCAAGUCCAGCUCCCUUUGCUUUAAUACCCAGCAGUAACAAGAAUGGAGAAGUGAUAGGCACUUGGUAGUUGUACCCAGAAAUCCUGUGUCAUCAGCUGUUCAAGAAAGGAUGCCAUGGAUAUUUUACAGAAAUAGUAAAAAUAAUUCUAAAAUGUAUUUGGAACUGCAAAAGACCCCAAGCUGCCAAAGUAAUUUUUAGCAAGAAGAACAAAGCUGAAAUCACCACACUUCUGAAUUUCAAACUAUAUUACAAAGCAAUAGUAAUCAAAAUAAUAUGGUACUGGCAUGGAAACAGGCAUAUAGACCAAUGGAACAGAAUAGAGAGCCCUGAGAUAAACUGCAUGUAUAUCAUCAAUCAAUCUUCAACAAAAGCAGCAAGAAUUCACAAUGAGAAAAGAACAUUAUCUUUAAUAAAUGGUGUUGAGAAAAUGGAAUAUCUACAUGCAAAAGAAUGAAACUGGAUUCUUUGCAACAUAAACACAAAUCAACUUGAAAUGAAUUAAAGACUUGAACUUAAGACCUAAAACUGUAAAACUCUGGGAAAAUGCUGUUUGACAUUGGUCUUGGCAAUAAUUUUUCAGAUAUGACACCAAAAGCACAGGCAACAAAAUCAAAAAUGAGAUAGGAUCACAUUAAACUGGAAUGUUUCUGCACCACAGUGGAAACAACACACAAAAUGAAAAAGCAACUUAUGCAAUGGAAAAAAAAAAUGUUUGUAAGCCAUAAUCUGAUAAGGGGUUAAUAUCUAAAAUAUGUAAGGAAUACAAC